rnacentral:rRNA from 1 species
AUUGAACGCUGGCGGCAGGCUUAACACAUGCAAGUCGAGCGGAGACUUCGGUCUUAGCGGCGAACGGGUGAGUAAUACCUAGGAAUCUGCCUAUUAGUGGGGGAUAACGAAUCGAAAGGUUCGCUAAUACCGCAUACGUCCUACGGGAGAAAGGGGGGGAUCUUCGGACCUCUCGCUAAUAGAUGAGCCUAGGCCGGAUUAGCUAGUUGGUAGGGUAAAGGCCUACCAAGGCGACGAUCUGUAGCUGGUCUGAGAGGAUGGCCAGCCACACUGGAACUGAGACGCGGUCCAGACUCCUACGGGAGGCAGCAGUGGGGAAUAUUGGACAAUGGGGGCAACCCGAUCCAGCCAUGCCGCGUGUGUGAAGAAGGCCUCGGUUGUAAGUCUCUUUCUAGUCAGGAACGAAACGGUAGGU